AGACAUGGUGGCUUAGUGGUAGAGCACAUGCUUUGCAUGCAGAAGGUCCCAAGUUCAAUCCCCGGCAUUUCCU